rnacentral:rRNA from 1 species
AUUGAACGCUGGCGGCAGGCCUAACACAUGCAAGUCGAGCGGAUGAAGGGAGCUUGCUCCUGGAUUCAGCGGCGGACGGGUGAGUAAUGCCUAGGAAUCUGCCUGGUAGUGGGGGAUAACGUCCGGAAACGGGCGCUAAUACCGCAUCCGUCCUGAGGGAGAAAGUGGGGGAUCUUCGGACCUCACGCUAUCAGAUGAGCCUAGGUCGGAUUAGCUAGUUGGUGGGGUAAAGGCCUACCAAGGCUACGAUCCGUAACUGGUCUGAGAGGAUGAUCAGUCACACUGGAACUGAGACACGGUCCAGACUCCUACGGGAGGCAGCAGUGGGGAAUAUUGGACAAAGGGCGAAAGCCUGAUCCAGCCAUGCCGCGUGCGUGAAGAAGGUCUUCGGAUUGUAAAGCACUUUAAGUUGGGAGGAAGGGCAGUAAGUUAAUACCUUGCUGUUUUGACGUUACCAACAGAAUAAGCACCGGCUAACUUCGUG